rfam:Roseobacter sp. MedPE-SWchi Roseobacter-sp-MedPE-SWchi-C1, whole genome shotgun sequence.
AUCCUCGAUCUGCUGCGGACAGAUAUAGUGAAUAUGGCUGUCAAAGCCACCGGCCGUCAGAAUGCGCCCCUCGCCAGCGAUCACCUCGGUGCCGGGACCAACAAUGACGUCAACACCGGGCUGGGUGUCAGGAUUGCCUGCCUUGCCAAUGCCCUCGAUGCGCCCAUCGCGCAGACCGACAUCCGCUUUGUAGAUGCCGGAAUGAUCGACAAUCAGCGCAUUGGUGACCACCGUAUCCACAGCCCCGGCGGCGCGGGUGACCUGUGACUGCCCCAUGCCGUCGCGGAU